AACGCUAGCUACAGGCUUAACACAUGCAAGUCGAGGGGCAGCAUGGUCUUAGCUUGCUAAGGCCGAUGGCGACCGGCGCACGGGUGAGUAACACGUAUCCAACCUGCCGUCUACUCUUGGACAGCCUUCUGAAAGGAAGAUUAAUACAAGAUGGCAUCAUGAGUCCGCAUGUUCACAUGAUUAAAGGUAUUCCGGUAGACGAUGGGGACGCGUUUCAUUAGAUAGUAGGCGGGGUAACGGCCCACCUAGUCUUCGAUGGAUAGGGGUUCUGAGAGGAAGGUCCCCCACAUUGGAACUGAGACACGGUCCAAACUCCUACGGGAGGCAGCAGUGAGGAAUAUUGGUCAAUGGGCGAGAGCCUGAACCAGCCAAGUAGCGUGAAGGAUGACUGCCCUAUGGGUUGUAGACUUCUUUUAUAAAGGAAUAAAGUCGGGUAUGCAUACCCGUUUGCAUGUACUUUAUGAAUAAGGAUCGGCUAACUCCGUGCCAGCAGCCGCGGUAAUACGGAGGAUCCGAGCGUUAUCCGGAUUUAUUGGGUUUAAAGGGAGCGUAGAUGGAUGUUUAAGUCAGUUGUGAAAGUUUGCGGCUCAACCGUAAAAUUGCAGUUGAUACUGGAUAUCUUGAGUGCAGUUGAGGCAGGCGGAAUUCGUGGUGUAGCGGUGAAAUGCUUAGAUAUCACGAAGAACUCCGAUUGCGAAGGCAGCCUGCUAAGCUGCAACUGACAUUGAGGCUCGAAAGUGUGGGUAUCAAACAGGAUUAGAUACCCUGGUAGUCCACACGGUAAACGAUGAAUACUCGCUGUUUGCGAUAUACGGCAAGCGGCCAAGCGAAAGCGUUAAGUAUUCCACCUGGGGAGUACGCCGGCAACGGUGAAACUCAAAGGAAUUGACGGGGGCCCGCACAAGCGGAGGAACAUGUGGUUUAAUUCGAUGAUACGCGAGGAACCUUACCCGGGCUUAAAUUGCAGAUGAAUUACGGUGAAAGCCGUAAGCCGCAAGGCAUCUGUGAAGGUGCUGCAUGGUUGUCGUCAGCUCGUGCCGUGAGGUGUCGGCUUAAGUGCCAUAACGAGCGCAACCCUUGUUGUCAGUUACUAACAGGUUCCGCUGAGGACUCUGACAAGACUGCCAUCGUAAGAUGUGAGGAAGGUGGGGAUGACGUCAAAUCAGCACGGCCCUUACGUCCGGGGCUACACACGUGUUACAAUGGGGGGUACAGAGGGCCGCUACCACGCGAGUGGAUGCCAAUCCCCAAAACCUCUCUCAGUUCGGACUGGAGUCUGCAACCCGACUCCACGAAGCUGGAUUCGCUAGUAAUCGCGCAUCAGCCACGGCGCGGUGAAUACGUUCCCGGGCCUUGUACACACCGCCCGUCAAGCCAUGGGAGCCGGGGGUACCUGAAGUGCGUAACCGCGAGGAGCGCCCUAGGGUAAAACUGGUGACUG
rnacentral:rRNA from 1 species